rnacentral:rRNA from 1 species
GCUUAACACAUGCAAGUCGAGGGGCAGCAUGGUCUUAGCUUGCUAAGGCCGAUGGCGACCGGCGCACGGGUGAGUAACACGUAUCCAACCUGCCGUCUACUCUUGGACAGCCUUCUGAAAGGAAGAUUAAUACAAGAUGGCAUCAUGAGUCCGCAUGUUCACAUGAUUAAAGGUAUUCCGGUAGACGAUGGGGAUGCGUUCCAUUAGAUAGUAGGCGGGGUAACGGCCCACCUAGUCUUCGAUGGAUAGGGGUUCUGAGAGGAAGGUCCCCCACAUUGGAGCUGAGACACGGUCCAAACUCCUACGGGAGGCAGCAGUGAGGAAUAUUGGUCAAUGGGCGAGAGCCUGAACCAGCCAAGUAGCGUGAAGGAUGACUGCCCUAUGGGUUGUAAACUUCUUUUAUAAAGGAAUAAAGUCGGGUAUGGAUACCCGUUUGCAUGUACUUUAUGAAUAAGGAUCGGCUAACUCCGUGCCAGCAGCCGCGGUAAUACGGAGGAUCCGAGCGUUAUCCGGAUUUAUUGGGUUUAAAGGGAGCGUAGAUGGAUGUUUAAGUCAGUUGUGAAAGUUUGCGGCUCAACCGUAAAAUUGCAGUUGAUACUGGAUAUCUUGAGUGCAGUUGAGGCAGGCGGAAUUCGUGGUGUAGCGGUGAAAUGCUUAGAUAUCACGAAGAACUCCGAUUGCGAAGGCAGCCUGCUAAGCUGCAACUGACAUUGAGGCUCGAAAGUGUGGGUAUCAAACAGGAUUAGAUACCCUGGUAGUCCACACGGUAAACGAUGAAUACUCGCUGUUUGCGAUAUACUGCAAGCGGCCAAGCGAAAGCGUUAAGUAUUCCACCUGGGGAGCACGCCGGCAACGGUGAAACUCAAAGGAAUUGACGGGGGCCCGCACAAGCGGAGGAACAUGUGGUUUAAUUCGAUGAUACGCGAGGAACCUUACCCGGGCUUAAAUUGCAGAUGAAUUACGGUGAAAGCCGUAAGCCGCAAGGCAUCUGUGAAGGUGCUGCAUGGUUGUCGUCAGCUCGUGCCGUGAGGUGUCGGCUUAAGUGCCAUAACGAGCGCAACCCUUGUUGUCAGUUACUAACAGGUUCCGCUGAGGACUCUGACAAGACUGCCAUCGUAAGAUGUGAGGAAGGUGGGGAUGACGUCAAAUCAGCACGGCCCUUACGUCCGGGGCUACACACGUGUUACAAUGGGGGGUACAGAGGGCCGCUACCACGCGAGUGGAUGCCAAUCCCCAAAACCUCUCUCAGUUCGGACUGGAGUCUGCAACCCGACUCCACGAAGCUGGAUUCGCUAGUAAUCGCGCAUCAGCCACGGCGCGGUGAAUACGUUCCCGGGCCUUGUACACACCGCCCGUCAAGCCAUGGGAGCCGGGGGUACCUGAAGUGCGUAACCGCGAGGAGCGCCCUAGGGUAAAACUGGUGACUGGGGCUAAG